UACGUAGGGUGCGAGCGUUGCCCGGAUUUACUGGGCGUAAAGGGCGCGUAGGCGGCCUCUGCAAGUCGGGUGUGAAAUCCCCAGGCUUAACCUGGGAACUGCAUUCGAGACUGCAUUACUAGAGUAUGGGAGAGGGAAGUGGAAUUUCCGGUGUAGCGGUGAAAUGCGUAGAUAUCGGAAGGAACAUCAGUGGCGAAAGCGACUUCCUGGACCAAUACUGACGCUCAUGUGCGAAAGCGUGGGGAGCAAACAGG
rnacentral:rRNA from 1 species